GAUGAACGCUGGCGGCGUGCCUAAUACAUGCAAGUCGAGCGAAUGGAUUAAGAGCUUGCUCUUAUGAAGUUAGCGGCGGACGGGUGAGUAACACGUGGGUAACCUGCCCAUAAGACUGGGAUAACUCCGGGAAACCGGGGCUAAUACCGGAUAACAUUUUGAACCGCAUGGUUCGAAAUUGAAAGGCGGCUUCGGCUGUCACUUAUGGAUGGACCCGCGUCGCAUUAGCUAGGUGGUGAGGUAACGGCUAACCAAGGCAACGAUGCGUAGCCGACCUGAGAGGGUGAUCGGCCACACUGGGACUGAGACACGGCCCAGACUCCUACGGGAGGCAGCAGUAGGGAAUCUUCCGCAAUGGACGAAAGUCUGACGGAGCAACGCCGCGUGAGUGAUGAAGGCUUUCGGGUCGUAAAACUCUGUUGUUAGGGAAGAACAAGUGCUAGUUGAAUAAGCUGGCACCUUGACGGUACCUAACCAGAAAGCACCGGCUAACUACGUGCCAGCCGCCGCCGUAA
rnacentral:rRNA from 1 species